UACAGAGGGUGCAAGCGUUGUUCGGAAUUAUUGGGCGUAAAGCGCGUGUAGGCGGCUUUGCAAGUCGAGUGUGAAAGCCCUCAGCUCAACUGAGGAAGUGCGCCCGAAACUGCAGAGCUUGAGUACCGGAGAGGAUGGCGGAAUUCCCCAAGUAGAGGUGAAAUUCGUAGAUAUGGGGAGGAACACCGGUGGCGAAGGCGGCCAUCUGGACGGAUACUGACGCUGAGACGCGAAAGCGUGGGGAGCAAACAGG
rnacentral:rRNA from 1 species